rnacentral:rRNA from 1 species
GCGGUAGCACAGUGGGAGCUUGCUCCUGGGUGACGAGCGGCGGACGGGUGAGUAAUGUCUGGGAAACUGCCUGAUGGAGGGGGAUAACUACUGGAAACGGUAGCUAAUACCGCAUAACGUCGCAAGACCAAAGAGGGGGACCUUCGGGCCUCUUGCCAUCAGAUGUGCCCAGAUGGGAUUAGCUAGUAGGUGGGGUAACGGCUCACCUAGGCGACGAUCCCUAGCUGGUCUGAGAGGAUGACCAGCCACACUGGAACUGAGACACGGUCCAGACUCCUACGGGAGGCAGCAGUGGGGAAUAUUGCACAAUGGGCGCAAGCCUGAUGCACCCAUGCCGCGUGUAUGAAAAAGGCCUUCGGGUUGUAAAGUACUUUCAGCGGGGAGGAAGGCGAUAAGGUUAAUAACCUUGUCGAUUGACGUUACCCGCAGAAAAAGCACCGGCUAACUCCGUGCCAGCAGCCGCGGUAAUACGGAGGGUGCAAGCGUUAAUCGGAAUUACUGGGCGUAAAGCGCACGCAGGCGGUCUGUCAAGUCGGAUGUGAAAUCCCCGGGCUCAACCUGGGAACUGCAUUCGAAACUGGCAGGCUAGAGUCUUGUAGAGGGGGGUAGAAUUCCAGGUGUAGCGGUGAAAUGCGUAGAGAUCUGGAGGAAUACCGGUGGCGAAGGCGGCCCCCUGGACAAAGACUGACGCUCAGGUGCGAAAGCGUGGGGAGCAAACAGGAUUAGAUACCCUGGUAGUCCACGCCGUAAACGAUGUCGACUUGGAGGUUGUGCCCUUGAGGCGUGGCUUCCGGAGCUAACGCGUUAAGUCGACCGCCUGGGGAGUACGGCCGCAAGGUUAAAACUCAAAUGAAUUGACGGGGGCCCGCACAAGCGGUGGAGCAUGUGGUUUAAUUCGAUGCAACGCGAAGAACCUUACCUACUCUUGACAUCCAGAGAACUUUCCAGAGAUGGAUUGGUGCCUUCGGGAACUCUGAGACAGGUGCUGCAUGGCUGUCGUCAGCUCGUGUUGUGAAAUGUUGGGUUAAGUCCCGCAACGAGCGCAACCCUUAUCCUUUGUUGCCAGCGGUUAGGCCGGGAACUCAAAGGAGACUGCCAGUGAUAAACUGGAGGAAGGUGGGGGAUGACGUCAAGUCAUCAUGGCCCUUACGAGUAGGGCUACACACGUGCUACAAUGGCGCAUACAAAGAGAAGCGACCUCGCGAGAGCAAGCGGACCUCAUAAAGUGCGUCGUAGUCCGGAUUGGAGUCUGCAACUCGACUCCAUGAAGUCGGAAUCGCUAGUAAUCGUAGAUCAGAAUGCUACGGUGAAUACGUUCCCGGGCCUUGUACACACCGCCCGUCACACCAUGGGAGUGGGUUGCAAAAGAAGUAGGUAG